CCUUCCGCAAUGGACGAAAGUCUGACGGAGCAACGCCGCGUGAGUGAUGAAGGUCUUCGGAUCGUAAAACUCUGUUGUUAGGGAAGAACAAGUACCGUUCGAAUAUGGCGGUACCUUGACGGUACCUACCCAGAAAGCCCCGGCUAACUACGUGCCAGCAGCCGCGGUAAUACGUAGGUGGCAAGCGUUGUCCGGAAUUAUUGGGCGUAAAGCGCGCGCAGGCGGUUUCUUAAGUCUGAUGUGAAAGCCCCCGGCUCAACCGGGGAGGGUCAUUGGAAACUGGGGAACUUGAGUGCAGAAGAGGAGAGUGGAAUUCCACGUGUAGCGGUGAAAUGCGUGGAGAUGUGGAGGAACACCAGUGGCGAAGGCGACUCGCUGGUCUGUAACUGACGCUGAGGCGCGAAAGCGUGGGGAGCGAACAG
rnacentral:rRNA from 1 species